AGCCGAACAUCAGAAUUGCUCAUUAUGUAAAACGCAGAACAAGUGCCCGAGCUACUGGCGUUGGUAGGCGCUGUUAUGUUUUCCGUUUAGCGCAGGGAUGGUCUAAAACGCGGUCGGCGCUGGGUAUGACUCUGUUGCGCCAAAGAUGCCGCCUCUGUCUCUUUCUCCUCCUGAUUCUGGCUGUGCCCGCGACCCCACAAGUCUCUGUGAUCGUUGAUGGAAAGGCUAAUGCCAAGUUGGGGUCAGACACUAAGUUGUACUGCAGAGUGGAAACCCUGGAAUUGAUAUCCCAAAUCACUUGGCAGAGGAAGUUGUCGCCCAACAAUGAGAAUUUCCUAACCUACAGCAAAGGAGAGGAACCCCUGCACCUCACUCCGUUUGGGGAGAGAGUGAGAUUUCUGGGCAAUGGGGAUCUUGGAGGCUCCAUACUGAUACCCAAUGUGACCCUGGCUGAUGAGGGCACCUACCUCUGUAUCUACACCACCUUUCCUAGUGGGACAAAGGAAGGGGAGAUUCAUUUAUCCAUCUGGGUGGAGCCGUCCGUGGAAGUGCAGCUUAAUCCAGUGCUGUUGGGACCAAAUCCGGAUAUUAUUGCUCAAUGUGUAGCCUUUGCCUCCAGACCUGCGGCUAAUAUCAAAUGGCAUACAAAUGGCUUCCAAUACACAUCAAAGGAAACCCCAACACAGCAUUCUAAUGGAACAGUGACAGUACAGAGCCAGCUAUGGAUGACGCCUUCUCUUGGACUUUAUGGGCAUCAGGCAACUUGUCUGGUUUCUCUGCCGGAUCAAAUAUUUGAGAAAGAGAUAAAUUUCAGCAUUACUAACAUUCAGUAUGCCCCUCAGACAGUGCAUGUCAGAGUACAUAGAAUAAACGAAGACCUUCCAUUGAUUGAAUGUUGGGCAGAUGGCAACCCUCCAGCCAACUAUACAUGGAGGAGGGAGAAUGGAUCCAUUCCUGAUGAUGUGGCCCAGGUUAAAGGGAACCUCCUGGAACAUACGGAUGAUAAUGGCCUGUAUGUCUGUGAGGCCACAAACAGCAUUGGGAGGAACUCGCACUCAGUCUAUUUAUAUAAAUAUACAGGUGCAAUACCCCGUUGUUACACAGGAGUAUGUAUUUCAGUAAGUCUGCUUGCAGUUUUAGUAAUCCUCUGCGCUGUGUGUUACUACAUCUGGGAGCAGAGGAAUAAGAAUAGCAGGGCUGUUGAAUUUGUCUCGCCCACUACAAGUCAAUUACAGGCCAAAUUCUUCUCCUGGGAAGGGCAAAAAUGCCAACAUGAGUUAACCUCAUCAGGAAACCGUUAGGGUGGAGUGGAAUUUGCAUUCACCCUUUAUAUGCUAGGAAUUGUAAAAAUGUACAGUACAGUACAGGGAAGGAGAAGAAGUACAGACACAGAGUGGGACCCGAGAACAGGAAGAAACAGAACAUUUUGCAGAUGCACAGUCAGACCUGUAAGAUAUGAAUGAAUUUAUAUAGAGAAAAGCUGUAGCUACCCUUGACCAACAGACCCAUUAGCAGACCCAGAGGCACGGCUCAUGAGGAGGCAUGGGCAGAGAGUGCUAUGAGAAUGGCAAUGCAGAGAGAUGACUUCUCAGAAUAUGUUAAAAUCACUAAAGAAAGCGGGCAGAGACCAUAGAAGAGAUUAGGGAUAAGAGCAACCAGAGGAGGUUAGCAAACUGUUGGGGGGGGCACCGGGCUCAGUACUGCUUGUGUGUUGGGUCCUAAACCACUUCUGACCUUGUGGUCAAGUUUUUUUUUGAUCCCUGUUUAAUAAUUCCCCAAAUACCGAGGUGAUAUAUUCAGUAAUAUAAACAUUCAGUAUGUGCAGUUGCUGGAGGAGGAAGCAGUUAAUCCAGUGUCUGACUGGGGGUCCCAGGACCCACCAGAGCUGCUGCCUCUGGGCCCACCAAACCCUCCUUGGCCCCCCUGCCCAAGCUGCAACCCCCUCCAGCACCCCGACACCUACCUUCUCCUUCUUGCA